rnacentral:lncRNA from 1 species
AGAAAAAAGGAGAGGCGUUGGAUCCAGUUCAUUAAUUGACAUGGCAGAUCAGAUGGAUCUCAAGCGCGCGCCUACCAAAUGUCUUAGUCAAACGCGUCACACAAUGCAUUUAAAAAAGUCAUAACAACCAAAGGCCAUGAUUCAAUCUAGGAAAGAGAUCAAACGGUCCACAUGCAAUCUGGCAAUGAGACGGUAGCCAGCGCCACCGUCU